UUCCGGAGAGGGAGCCUGAGAAACGGCUACCACAUCCAAGGAAGGCAGCAGGCGCGCAAAUUACCCAAUCCAGACACUGGGAGGUAGUGACGAGAAAUACUGGGGGCGCUCUAUGAGUGCCAUCCGGAAUGAACGUAAUACAAAACACUCGAUGAGGACCUACUGGAGGGCAAGUCUGGUGCCAGCAGCCGCGGUAAUUCCAGCUCCAGUAGUGUAUAUCAACAUUGUUGCGCUUAAAACGCUCGUAGUUGGAUUACAGGACAUUGAACAGGCGUCGCCCUCUGCGGGCGGGUCUGGUCGUGCUGGUCGCGAUCCGUGCAACAGUACGGGUCCGGUCGGCUCGGCAAUGUCCUUUAUUCGCACUGGCACUGGGCGGAGACUUUGCUGUCCACGCCCAGUCGCCGGUGGAGUGUGCCUUGAAUAAAGCAUAGUGCUCAAAGCAGGCGUACGCUCGUGUGUAAUAGCAUGGAACGAAUAUGUUGGCCGGGCCGCGUUACGCCCGUCUCGUGCGGGUGGACGCCGGCCAGGCACACCUAGUGUUGGUUGGUGCAACGGUCUCACCGGUUAACAGGGACACCUGAGGGCACUAGUACUUUGUGGCGAGAGGUGAAAUUCUUAGACCCACAAAAGACUGACUACUGCGAAAGCAUUUGCCAAGAGUGUUUUCAUUAAUCAAGAACGAAGGUCAGAGGAUCGAAGACGAUCAGAUACCGUCCUAGUUUUGACAGCAAACUAUGCCAGCAUAGGGUUGGGGCGGUCGUUCACUUGCGUGGACGUACCACUGCAGGCCUUAAGGGAAACCUAGCUUUCGGGCUGCUGGGAGAAUAUCGCUGCAAGGCUGAAAUUUAAAGAAAUUGACGGAGAGGCACCACCAGGAGUGGAGCCUGCGGCUUAAUUUGACUCAACACGGGGAAACUCACCAGGUCCAGACAUUGGCAGGAUUGACAGACUGCGGAUCUUUCAUGAUUCAGUGGAUGGUGGUGCAUGGCCGUUCUUAGUUGGUGGAGUGAUCUGUCAGGUCUAUUCCGGUAACGAGCGAGACCACGGCCUUUAGUUCUCGCGCCUAACCGCUACCGCGGACUGGCCUUGCUAGAGGGACUACGGGGGACUUAACCCCGGGGAAGCGUGGCAAUAACAGGUCUGUGAUGCCCUUCGAUGUCCUGGGCUGCACGCGCGCUACAAUGGCAGCAGGAGAGAGUUUGCUGGCUAGAGAUGGCCGGCCAAACUGCUAAUAGCUGUCGUGAUAGGGAUUGGGCCUUGCAAUUGUUGCCCAUGAAAGAGGAAUUCCUCGUAAGCACUAGUCAUCAGCUAGUGUUGAAUACGUCUCUGCCUCUUGUACACACCGCCCGUCGCUACUACCGAUUGAAUUGCUCCUAAAGCUGGCUGG
rnacentral:rRNA from 1 species